ensembl:miRNA mdo-mir-12405 mdo-mir-12405
UAGUCCCAACUCCGCCACUAAGGUCGCAUAGUUGUUUAGUGGAAGAACUGGGAUUAGA